GACGAACGCUGGCGGCGUGCUUAACACAUGCAAGUCGAACGAUGAAGAAAAGAAUCGAAGCUUCGGCAGAAAUUCAUUUCGGAUUAGUGGCAGACGGGUGAGUAACGCGUGAGCAACCUACCUCUUACAAAGGGAUAGCCUCGGGAAACCGGGAUUAAUACCAUAUAACAUUGCGACGAAGCAUUUCGAUGCAAUCAAAGCUACGGCGGUAAGAGAUGGGCUCGCGUCCCAUUAACCGGAUGGUGAGGUAACGGCUCACCAUAGUGACGAUGGGUAACCGGCCUGAGAGGGUGAACGGUCACACUGGAACUGAGACACGGUCCAGACUCCUACGGGAGGUAGCAGUGGGGAAUAUUGCACAAUGGAGGGAACUCUGAUGCAGCGACGCCGCGUGAGUGAUGAAGGAAUUCGUUUCGUAAAACUCUGUUCUAUGGGAAGAAAAGGACUGUACCAUAGGAGAAAGCUCCGGCUAAAUACGUG
rnacentral:rRNA from 1 species